UAGGGAAUAUUGGUCAAUGGAUGGAAGUCUGAACCAGCCAUGCCGCGUGCAGGAAGAAGGCCUUCUGGGUUGUAAACUGCUUUUGCCAGGGGAUAAAAUACCCAUGCGUGGGGAAUUGCAAGUACCUGGUGAAUAAGCCACGGCUAACUACGUGCCAGCAGCCGCGGUAAUACGUAGGUGACGAGCGUUGUCCGGAUUUAUUGGGUUUAAAGGGUGCGUAGGCGGCCUAUUAAGUCAGUGCUGAAAUACCCCGGCUCAACCGGGGGGGUGGCAUUGAUACUGAUGGGCUUGAGUACAGAUGAGGUAGGCGGAAUUGACGGUGUAGCGGUGAAAUGCAUAGAUAUCGUCAAGAACACCUAUAGCGAAGGCAGCUUACUAAGCUGUAACUGACGCUGAGGCACGAAAGUGUGGGGAUCAAACAGGAUUAGAUACCCUGGUAGUCCACACUGUAAACGUUGAUAACUCGCUGUUUGCGAUACACAGCAAG
rnacentral:rRNA from 1 species